ACGGGGUGCAGCAGGCGCGAAAUCUUCACAAUGUGCGAAAGCACGAUGAGGGGAUCCCAAGUGUUGGUUCGUAAGAAUCAUCUGUUUCUUUGUCUAAAAAACAGAGAGAGUAAGAGCUGGGUAAGACAGGUGCCAGCCGCCGCGGUAAUACCUGCAGCUCAAGUGGUGGCCGCUAUUAUUGGGCCUAAAACGUCCAUAGCCGGUUUAGUAAAUGCUUGGGUAAAUUGUGUAGCUCAACUAUACGAAUACCGAGUAGACUGCUGAACUUGGGACCGGGAGAGGCUAGAGGUACUCCUAGGGUAGAGGUGAAAUUCUGUAAUCCUAGGGGGACCACCAGUGGCGAAGGCGUCUAGCUAGAACGGGUCUGACGGUGAGGGACGAAGCCCUGGGGCGCAAACCGGAUUAGAUACCCGGGUAGUCCAGGGUGUAAACGCUGCUCGCUUGAUGUUAGUUGGGCUCCGAGCCCAACUAGUGUCGGAGAGAAGUUGUUAAGCGAGCUGCCUGGAA
rnacentral:rRNA from 1 species